UACAACUUAGUCUCUCCGCAGGGUAAGCCCUUCAGCUGGGGUACAGUAGGUGAUUGGAGGCCAAGUGACAGACCCUGUGACUCCUAAUUCCCAGUGCACGGUUAGGCCCCUCAGCCCAUUGGACAUAAAUGGUGGUGGUGUUUGUGAAUCAUCUUGAUGGCAGUGUGGAAAGUAUAGGGGACGUGUGGUGGGAGAUGUCAUGAUAGUGUCAGAAGGAGCUGUGUGUGAGAUUACAAUGCUGAAGGGGAAGGACUGGAGGCGGGUGCAGUGGGUGUGUGACCAACAAUGGUCAAUGAAGGGACAGCUGGGGUGUAACUGGGGAAAUCAGGGACCAGCAGAAGUAAUGUGCUUAAAACAAGACACCAGGGCAGGCCCAGUGGCUUAGUGGUUAAGUGCGCGCGCUCCACUACUGGCGGCCCAGGUUCAGAUCCCGGGCGCGCACCCAUGCACCGCUUCUCCAGCCAUGCUGAGACUACAUCCCACAUACAGAAACUAGAAGGAUGUGCAACUAUGACAUACAACUAUCUACUGGGGCUUUGGGGAAGAAAAAAAGGAGGAGGAUUGGCAAUAGAUAUUAGCUCAGAGCUGAUCUUCCUCAGCAAAAAAAAAGAGGAGGAUCAGCACGGAUGUUAGCUCAGGGCUGAUCUCCCUCACAAAGAAAAUAAAUAAAUAAAAUAAAAUAAUAAAACAAGACACCAGGCCCAAAUGGAGCCACUUAGCCUAAGUCUCACGUCAACAAGCCGAGAUUUAAUUAGACUUUUUGCCCUCCCAGGAAGAGAAUCAUAUACCAGUCAAUUGGGAAUCGCCUGAUGAGCAGCAGUUUGGUGGCAGCAGUGGGAUCCAAAGGAGACAUCUGAUGGCUUAGGGGAUGAGAAACACAGGCAUUGGUACCCGGAAAACCUUUGAGUUCUCCAUCCUUUUCACUGUUUUUGAGAGCCGUGGCGCCAGCUGCAGAGCUCCAGCCAGCAGCAGAAGCAGAGCAGUGGGCAGUGGUGGAGGUAGAGCUGGGUCCAGCUCC